rnacentral:lncRNA from 1 species
UACUGGGGGACAGGAGUCUGUGGGUGCUGGACUCCCUAGGGAUAGUUCUGUAGAUGAUGUAAGUAGGAGUAGCGAUGUAGUUACUGAUGUUAGUCCUCUAAGGAUAAUUUUUCCUCCUAUAAUUUUAGAUGACUGAAUAAAAUAGUGUUUUGUUCCCUUUUGUAUUUAUGUUACGCUUUUGCCUUUUUGUUCUCGAUGUUUAACUGUAUGCUAAGCUUCAGUGAUCGGGAUCUUACCUUUGUUCAUACUUGCACUUGUAUUUGAGUUACUUUUUGCUUCUGUCUGUCUUGUUGCCUUUAUUGGACCGUUCAAUCCGUUUAAGGCUUAAUUCACUCUCUUCAUUCUUGCAAACCUUUUCUAAUUUUG